rnacentral:sRNA from 1 species
CCAGAGAUGACUGGGAUGAUAAAGAGGGUGAAUGAUGGCCCAACGAAGCCACGGAAGCAGUGGCGGCGGAACGAUGCGAUAACUCAUGAAUACUUUUUUCGACGGCAGAAAGGCGGUCUUCGAUCAACCCCAAGUUUCUCUCACUGGCUGGGUUAAUACCUAAGCCACUUGAAGAAGUAGUUGGAUGGCAGACGUACUGGUUGGAGGGAGGAACAGGAGGUCGCUCUGUGAGCCUCGAAGAAGCGGCAUGGCAAGUGACCCCGAGUGUUCCGCAGCUGGAACAUGGAAUGGCCUUAUCACAUUUGAUCUGGACAAAGAUGUUAGACCAGCUCCAUUAGUAGGCUCCAUCGACUAGAAUUUCUCGAUGUUAUAUGAUUCCGGCGUAAGACGCGUAGCAGACACAGAGAUAUCACACCUUUCUCAGCCGACAAUUUUCGCACUGAAUAGCAGUUGUUAAUAAUCGCACAGGAGAUUUAGUCUUAGGUAAAGAAAAGGUCAACAUUACUGCACGGGCACGGAACGAACGAGAAGAAGAAUUCGCUCCGUGUGGCAUUUCAAAAAAUUAUGAAGUCGGAAGGACUCGAGAGCUUCGCUUGAGAUUGAGAACAGAUAGUUAUGUAUACUAAGCCAAAAAAAAAAAAAAAAAAAAGAGGCAAAGAAUAAAUAUAAAAACAGGAGGGUUAAACACGCUGCUGCACCAUUUUAUGCAUAAAUAUACCGUCUAUAUAGAAAUUAUUGUAGCCAUGUAUGUACGAUUAAAAUGUUGAAUUAUCGCUGC